CUGUGGGUUGUAAACCUCUUUUCUCAGGGAAGAAGCUCUGACGGUACCUGAGGAAUAAGCAUCGGCUAACUCCGUGCCAGCAGCCGCGGUAAGACGGAGGAUGCAAGCGUUAUCCGGAAUUAUUGGGCGUAAAGCGUCCGUAGGCGGUCGAUUAAGUCUGCUGUCAAAGACUGCAGCUCAACUGUGGAUAGGCAGUGGAAACUGAUUGACUAGAGUACGGUAGGGGUAGAGGGAAUUCCCAGUGUAGCGGUGAAAUGCGUAGAUAUUGGGAAGAACACCAGUGGCGAAGGCGCUCUACUGGGCCGUAACUGACGCUGAGGGACGAAAGCUAGGGGAGCGAAUGGGAUUAG
rnacentral:rRNA from 1 species